rnacentral:rRNA from 1 species
AUUGAACGCCGGCGGCAUGCCUUACACAUGCAAGUCGAACGGCAGCACGGGAGCAAUCCUGGUGGCGAGUGGCGAACGGGUGAGUAAUACAUCGGAACGUGCCCAAUCGUGGGGGAUAACUACGCGAAAGCGUAGCUAAUACCGCAUACGAUCUACGGAUGAAAGCAGGGGAUCGCAAGACCUUGCGCGAGUGGAGCGGCCGAUGGCAGAUUAGGUAGNGGUGAGGUAAAGGCUCACCAAGCCUUCGAUCUGUAGCUGGUCUGAGAGGACGACCAGCCACACUGGGACUGAGACACGGCCCAGACUCCUACGGGAGGCAGCAGUGGGGAAUUUUGGACAAUGGGCGCAAGCCUGAUCCAGCCAUGCCGCGUGCAGGAUGAAGGCC